rnacentral:rRNA from 1 species
GACGAACGCUGGCGGCGUGCUUAACACAUGCAAGUCGAACGGAAAGGCCCUGCUUUUGUGGGGUGCUCGAGUGGCGAACGGGUGAGUAACACGUGAGUAACCUGCCCCUGACUUUGGGAUAACUUCAGGAAACUGGGGCUAAUACCGGAUAGGAGCUCCUGCUGCAUGGUGGGGGUUGGAAAGUUUCGGCGGUUGGGGAUGGACUCGCGGCUUAUCAGCUUGUUGGUGGGGUAGUGACUUACCAAGGCUUUGACGGGUAGCCGGCCUGAGAGGGUGACCGGCCACAUUGGGACUGAGAUACGGCCCAGACUCCUACGGGAGGCAGCAGUGGGGAAUAUUGCACAAUGGGCGGAAGCCUGAUGCAGCAACGCCGCGUGCGGGAUGACGGCCUUCGGGUUGUAAACCGCUUUCGCCUGUGACGAAGCGUGAGUGACGGUAAUGGGUAAAGAAGCACCGGCUAACUACGUG